rnacentral:misc_RNA from 1 species
UUUAAUUUAUGGGAAAAACCUGGAUAACACGUUGAAUUAUUUUUAGAAAUUGAUCUGACAAUUUCUUCUUCCAGUGAUCAACAACACUGGAUUUGCAUCAAUGGGAUCUCUCAUGUCUAGUUUACACCUUUUAAGAAGAAAAUGAAUGAAUUGCUUUUCAUUGCAGUGCAGUAUAUAAUUCUUUCAGCAGAACUUCAUUUUGCCAAGCAAGUGUAACCAUAGUUAAGAGUUUCUCACUAGAGAAUGAUAAAAGAAUUUGAAUUCGUCUCCAUGAUCAGUCCGAUUGAUAAUUAUGCCAUUCUUUUGUGUGACUCGUGGGUGUCGAAGCCGGAGCACCUGCUCAUCGGUUAGAAGUAGCAUCUGCUGCAGUGUUGAUGCUAGGUUUACCAUUUUCACUGGUGAGAUUGCUUAAUUGGCCAUUGAAUUCUACUCCAUAGAUAUGACCCAUUUUAGCACGUUUGGUCUCCAGAUACCUCUUGUUUUCCUUUGU